AAAUUGAAGAGUUUGAUCAUGGCUCAGAUUGAACGCUGGCGGCAGGCCUAACACAUGCAAGUCGAACGGUAACAGGAAGCAGCUUGCUGCUUUGCUGACGAGUGGCGGACGGGUGAGUAAUGUCUGGGAAACUGCCUGAUGGAGGGGGAUAACUACUGGAAACGGUGGCUAAUACCGCAUAACGUCGCAAGACCAAAGAGGGGGACCUUCGGGCCUCUUGCCAUCAGAUGUGCCCAGAUGGGAUUAGCUAGUUGGUGAGGUAACGGCUCACCAAGGCGACGAUCCCUAGCUGGUCUGAGAGGAUGACCAGCCACACUGGAACUGAGACACGGUCCAGACUCCUACGGGAGGCAGCAGUGGGGAAUAUUGCACAAUGGGCGCAAGCCUGAUGCAGCCAUGCCGCGUGUAUGAAGAAGGCCUUAGGGUUGUAAAGUACUUUCAGCGGGGAGGAAGGUGUUGCGGUUAAUAACCGCAGCAAUUGACGUUACCCGCAGAAGAAGCACCGGCUAACUCCGUGCCAGCAGCCGCGGUAAUACGGAGGGUGCAAGCGUUAAUCGGAAUUACUGGGCGUAAAGCGCACGCAGGCGGUCUGUCAAGUCGGAUGUGAAAUCCCCGGGCUCAACCUGGGAACUGCAUUCGAAACUGGCAGGCUUGAGUCUUGUAGAGGGGGGUAGAAUUCCAGGUGUAGCGGUGAAAUGCGUAGAGAUCUGGAGGAAUACCGGUGGCGAAGGCGGCCCCCUGGACAAAGACUGACGCUCAGGUGCGAAAGCGUGGGGAGCAAACAGGAUUAGAUACC
rnacentral:rRNA from 1 species